rnacentral:rRNA from 1 species
UAAGGAAUAUUGGACAAUGGAGGCAACUCUGAUCCAGCCAAGCCGCGUGAAGGAAUAAGGCCCUAUGGGUUGUAAACUUCUUUUAGACGGGACAAAACCCCUUUACGUGUAAAGGGUUGAUGGUACUGUCAGAAUAAGCAUCGGCUAACUUCGUGCCAGCAGCCGCGGUAAUACGAAGGAUGCAAGCGUUAUCCGGAAUUAUUGGGUUUAAAGGGUGCGUAGGCGGACUAAUAAGUCAGUGGUGAAAGCCUGCAGCUUAACUGCAGAAUUGCCAUUGAUACUGUUAGUCUUGAGUACAGUUGAGGUAGGCGGAAUGUGUCAUGUAGCGGUGAAAUGCUUAGAUAUGACACAGAACACCGAUUGCGAAGGCCGCUUGCUAAGCUGUAACUGACGCUGAGGCACGAAAGCGUGGGGAGCAAACA